AAGGUGGGGUAGAUGAUUGGGGUGAAGUCGUAACAAGGUAGCCGUAUCGGAAGGUGCGGCUGGAUCACCUCCUUU
rnacentral:rRNA from 1 species